AUAUAUAUAUAUAUAUCUUCCGUAAUAAAAAGGCACCAUUUAAUUCUUUUAAGAGAAGGAGCCAUUGCACCUGAAUGGAUUCUUUUUCCUGUUGUGCCUUUAUAUAGGAGCAAGAUGCUUAUUAGUGUGGAAAGCAAGAGAAAAUGGACAGAGAACAAGAUAUUCAAACCAAUGCAGAAAAAGGAAACAUUUAAUAUUUAAAUAAUGGGGAUGAGGUUAAUAAUUUCUCAAUUCCUAAAUUUUACUGUAUAGUUUGACUGUAGAAAAGAUGUGUU
rnacentral:lncRNA from 1 species